rnacentral:rRNA from 1 species
UGCAAGUCGAACGAAGUAGCAAUACUUAGUGGCAGACGGGUGAGUAACAUGUAGGUAUCUGCCCUUUGGCCUGGAAUAACACGAGGAAACUUGUGCUAAUACCGGAUAAGUCUUUACAGAGAAAGCUUUAUGCACCAUUGGAUGAGCCUGCACUUGAUUAGUUUGUUGGUGGGGUAAUGGCCUACCAAGACUGUGAUCAAUAGCUGAUUUGAGAGGAUGAUCAGCCACAUUGGGACUGAGACACGGCCCAAACUCCUACGGGAGGCAGCAGUGGGGAAUCUUGCACAAUGGAGGAAACUCUGA